UACGAGUGCCUCGAGCGUUAUCCGGAAUCAUUGGGCGUAAAGGGUGUGUAGGUGGUCAUAUUAGUCUUCUGUUAAAUUCUUCGGCUUAACCGGGAGGGUGCGGCGGAAACUGGAGUGCUUGAGGGUGGGAGAGGUAAGCGGAAUUCCUGGUGUAGCGGUGAAAUGCGUAGAUAUCAGGAGGAACACCUGUGGUGUAGACAGCUUACUGGACCACUUCUGACGCUGAGACACGAAAGCGUGGGUAGCAAACAGG
rnacentral:rRNA from 1 species